UAAAGUCCAAGUCCAACCGAUAACCACCAGUU
rnacentral:piRNA from 1 species